rnacentral:rRNA from 1 species
GAUGAACGCUGGCGGCGUGCCUCAGACAUGCAAGUAGAGCGAAGCGGGGACGGGUGAGUAAAACGUGGAUAAACUCCUAUAGGACUGGGAUAACUACGGGAAACCAGAGCUAAACCGGAUACUUAUCGAUGGAUCAGCGUUGCAUUAGCUAGUGGGAAAGGUAACGGCUUACCAAGGCAACGAUGCAUAGCCGAACUGAGAGGGUGAUGGGCCACAAUGUAACUGAGACCGUGUCCAGACUCCUACGGGAGGCAGCAGUAGGGAAUUUUCCGCAAUGGGCGAAAUCCUGACGGAGCAACGCCGCGGUAUUGAUGAAGGUCUUCGGAUCGUAAAACUCUUUUAUUAGGUAAGCGGUACCUAAUCAGAAAGCCACGGCUAACUACGUGCCAGCAGCCGCGGUAAUAC